UACGAAGGGGGCUAGCGUUGUUCGGAAUUACUGGGCGUAAAGCGCACGUAGGCGGAUAUUUAAGUCAGGGGUGAAAUCCCAGAGCUCAACUCUGGAACUGCCUUUGAUACUGGGUAUCUUGAGUAUGGAAGAGGUAAGUGGAAUUCCGAGUGUAGAGGUGAAAUUCGUAGAUAUUCGGAGGAACACCAGUGGCGAAGGCGGCUUACUGGUCCAUUACUGACGCUGGAGGUGCGAAAGCGUGGGGAGCAAACAGG
rnacentral:rRNA from 1 species